rnacentral:rRNA from 1 species
AUGGGCGAAAGCCUGAUCCAGCAAUACCGCGUGUGUGAAGAAGGCCUGAGGGUUGUAAAGCACUUUCAAUAGGAAGGAAUACCUACCGGCUAAUACCCGGUAGACUGACAUUACCUAUACAAGAAGCACCGGCUAACUCCGUGCCAGCAGCCGCGGUAAUACGGAGGGUGCAAGCGUUAAUCGGAAUUACUGGGCGUAAAGCGUGCGUAGGCGGUUCGUUAAGUCAGAUGUGAAAGCCCCGGGCUCAACCUGGGAACUGCAUUUGAUACUGGCAAACUAGAGUUGAGUAGAGGAGAGUGGAAUUUCAGGUGUAGCGGUGAAAUGCGUAGAGAUCUGAAGGAACACC